rnacentral:rRNA from 1 species
UACGGAGGGUGCAAGCGUUAUCCGGAUUCACUGGGUUUAAAGGGUGCGUAGGCGGACAGGUAAGUCAGUGGCGAAAUCUCCGAGCUUAACUCGGAAACUGCCGUUGAUACUAUUUGUCUUGAAUAUUGUGGAGGUAAGCGGAAUAUGUCAUGUAGCGGUGAAAUGCGUAGAUAUCGGGAGGAACACCAGUGGCGAAGGCGAUCAUCUGGGGUUGUUCUGACACUGAGGAGCGAAAGCUAGGGGAGCAAACGGG